rnacentral:rRNA from 1 species
UACGUAGGUGGCAAGCGUUGUCCGGAUUUACUGGGCGUAAAGAGCGCGCAGGCGGUCGUUUAAGUCGAAUGUGAAAGCCCCCGGCUUAACUGGGGAGGGUCAUUCGAUACUGAUCGACUUGAAGGCAGGAGAGGGAAGCAGAAUUCCCGGUGUAGUGGUGAAAUGCGUAGAUAUCGGGAGGAAUACCAGUGGCGAAGGCGGCUUCCUGGCCUGUUCUUGACGCUGAGGCACGAAAGCGUGGAGAUCAAACAGG